ACUAGUCCAUGUGCACAAAAGUUCGAUCGAUCAUAUGUUUUCUUUGUGUAGUUUUUUCAGCCGCUGUAAUUCGAAUUGGUUAUAAAUUUCGUGUAUUAAAUUCGACGUUUAUAUCUACUUUCAUUGUUUCUAGGAGAAAUGUGCUGAUUAGUACUUUCAAUUCCUUCGGAAGGUAAAAUUUGUAGAGUGCAUGUAAGUGCAUUUCUAUGUGCACGUGCUUGCAAUUUUCAGGCUAAUACCUCCUAGUUUCAGUAGAGAAUCAGGCUUUAAAGUAAUUCAAAUGGUAGAAUAACUCAUCUAGUGUUCGUAAUAACAGUUUUAAGUCGCAAACAAGUGAUUUCGCCGAAAAACGUGCUGUGAAAAGAAUCGGAUUGAAGUGGAAUAGUUUGUUACGUUGGUUAUUUAUUAGGACAGGUUAUCACGAUGGAUUCUUUCUCGAUGUUCUCCUGGAUUAGUGCCUCAUUGGAUGAAGUGUCUGUGAUAAUUUUGCCAAUGAUGCAAUCUCACAAGUGCAUUUGUGAAAUCUGUGUUACUGAUAAUAAAUAUUAUGUGCAAUACUAUGGCUCAAAAAGUGAUAAUACAAUAAAAACGUGAAAAAAGUUAAGUGAUGUCGACAGUUUUACAUGGUAAAUAGUGUUUUGAAAAUGUGCGCAUUGGAUGCAGUGUUCUUCGCUAGAUGGCGUCGUUGGAAUCGUUGCUAGCAAGUGAGGAGCUAGUUCCGCUACUCGCCGCUAGGUGGCAUUGAUGGGUCACCAGCCGAUAACCAGCGAUAGUAUCGCGCAGUCUAUAAAUAACCAUACAGCUGUAAAAUACCCCACCUGAGCAACAGUAUGAAACCACUUGCUGCAAUGAUCCAGCGUGACCCGUCUGAUGCAGAUCGCUAUCUUCGCUCGACUUAGUCCACCAUUUUAGAUUAGGCUCUUUGUGUUAUAAUCAUAUUAGAAUGUUCCGUAAAUUAAUCUUUUCAUCUGUUGAACAAUGCGGAAUGUGCAGUUACCACUCAUCAUCGAAGUUUCUUCAUUCAAUGCCUCCCAUCUCUGUGAAUCGUGAUAGUGUUCUACUGCACUCUCUCUUGUUCUCGCUACUCAAAAGUGAUUUGUAACAUGGGCAGUCCAAUCGUCACAGAUAUGUUUUAUGUGAAACCAACAAAGUAUUGAUAAGGUCCCGGAGGGAAUCGCAAAAAUGCUCUUUAGUUUAUAAGCGUGACAGUGCACAUUGUGAUCCUCGUAACGUUUUUCCGUUUUCCUUCGCGAUCCUGACAUGUUCGCGCGUUAUUGUUUUAUUUUAAUUUAUUAUUAUUUUAUGAAUUUUUAAAUUGUAUACUUUGUUACGUUAAGAGUUUUGAAUUAUAUUGACUAACACAUACUAAACAAUUCUAACGCAUGACUUUUAUUUUACAAAAUCAACUCGCGAGUGUGCAUGACGUUAAAGUUUUUAAUAUUUUUAAUGUUUUAUAAUAUGUUAAGAUAGACAACCUGCUACUCUGACAUGCGUAUCUUAAAACAAAUGUGAUAUUGAUUUUGAAAUGUUUACUUCAACAAUUUGUACAUAAUGUAAUCGGAAUAAUUCAAUGAUGAGAUCGAUCAUAUAAUUGUCGUACGCCUUGCUCCAUAAAACUUGAUUUUAGGUUACAAUCGAAUCAUUACUUAAAUUCGAGUUUUAGUUCUUGCAUGGCAAUACCCGGGGAUUGCAUUCUAGUUUUUUGUAAGAUGAAAAAUUUGAUUAUGCAAUCUGUUUAAUUUAUAAAAUGUUAAUUAUGAAUUAGUUGAGAAUUGUUUUAUAAUUAUUGAUUUAGAAUCGUUCAAUAAACAUUUCGGCAUGAA